AUGAACAAACGAAAGUGGCGCGGAUUUCGGGGCGCCCAGCCGGAGCGAGCGCGGCCGCCAGCCGCAAGUCCGCAGCCGUGUCCCGCGCCCCACGCCGGCCUCCCCGGCGGCAGCCGGAGACCAGCGCCAGCACCGGCGGGGCAGCAGCAGAUGCGGGCCGAGAGCCGGGCAGGGGCGCAGAGGCGGCGUGGAUCGGCGCGGCGGGGAGCUCACCGCGAGGCUGGAGGCUGCGUCUGCGGGCGCACCAGGAGCUCAGGCAGCGGGCGAUCGAACGCUCUGUGGCGGGCGGUGGACGCUGCUGAAGCUCUGGCUCUGAGCUAACGGCUCCCCCGUCCGUGGGACCAAGCCCAGCAUUUUACAAACCCAGCUCCUUUCUCCAAGGGUCCUCAGAGUGCCCCUCCGCCACCCCCUGCAGGGCGCCGCAGACAAGGCGUUGACCUUGCGCUCCCUCCCCUCGCUGGGGAAGGACACACUAGCUGGCGUCAGCCCGGCUGGCCUGGGAAGUCGGACUAAGGACCCGAACUGGAACCCUCCACACCAGACAGCACAGACCACCCCAAGGCUGCUCAAUCCGCCCAAAGCCAAAAGUACGUGGGGGAUAUGGGUCCAGGUUGGGGUGCUUGGGAGAGGGCCCUGGGGGAGGGGUUCAGACAGUGCACACUCCAAAGGACUGAGGCGGCGCCACUGUGUUACCAUUUUAUUGAGUGUCUAAGCUAAAGACACCUUUGAAAGAACACUCCCGGCUUCUAUCUGGGAUGGGCGAACCAGCCUGAAGAGUCACCUGCUGGAUCCCUCCCUGCAGGCCCUGUCGUGUCCAUGUGCCUCCACCUCCAACACUCCCCAAGUCCUGGAGCCUCCCCUGUCACUCCAGUGCCUGACCAGUGAAUGGGUGCUGCCCCCACCACAGAGCUCCCUCCGGCUGAGGCAGAGGCCACUGGCUGGGCCUUUCUAGCCACCUUCCACCCCCCUUACACACAGGAAGCCCCGCAGGCUCCUGACCACAAUGGGAUCCUGACGCCGGAGCCCCUUAGGCCCUUUGCUCAGAAGGCCUCUGGUUAUUACCUCAAUUCUGAACAGCCAGGAGGCCUGAGACUGUCACCCACUUUGAUAAAUAUGGACCGACAGAAAGGUCAGGCCAUUGGUGCAAGACUCCAUGGCCAGCAGCCUGGGGCGGGGAGAACCCGGGGGUCUCACAGCCCCCAGCAGAGCCCAGCUUUCCUUGGGUUUUUACGUUCUUCCCAAAUGAUAUUUUCCCUUUUUCCCUCUCUACCUGCUUUCUGCCCCCCAUCUUCUCCCCUUUGGCUGCCCGCUCUCUCCCUGCCCCUCUCCCCUUCUUUGCCCUUUUUCCUCUCCCAGAGCUCCCCUGCCAGGACCUUGGUGCUGUGGAGACUGCGGGGAACCUGCUCUGCCCACACCUGCUCUGGCCCCUAGACAGAAGCACCUGGAGCCAACCACGGAACUCCAGAUCCCAGCUGUGUGACUGAAUCCACUCCAGCCUCUCUGAGCCAAAGCUGCUUGCAGAAGGGAGAGAUCCCAAUUCGAAGACUCCUGCGCAGAGCCUGUGGCCCUCUCUGCCAGGCCUCAGGGUGCCUGAGACACUCACCUCUCUGCCUCUGCAGUUGGGGCUGAGGCUGGGGCUGGCCGCCAGCCUCAGUUCUGGGAGCGCUGGGGUCGCCUGGGCCACAGGCCGCAGCAGCUCACCUCAGGACUGGGCUCUCUGGCCACUCUGGCCUGCUGGGGCUCAGGCUCUGGGGCAGGCUGGGCAGGGGGCUGAGCUGGCAGCGAUUCAGAGCCCUGGGGCUGGGGGCUGGAAUCCACCUCCUCCCACACAAGCUCGGCGGUGACUCUUCGGCCC
rnacentral:antisense_RNA from 1 species